GAAGCUCCCUGGUAGUUACAGGGAGUGAUUGUUAGGCUUAAGAGGUCUUUGCUGUGGAGUAUGGAUUGCUCGCUUUUAUUAAUUAAUGAGGAAAUAGCUGUCUUGAUAGCACAUAUGCAUUUAGCUGUAUGAUAUAUAUGUCUAUAUAUUGCAAUCUCAUGACAUUUCCACAAGGUGAACAGCAACGAAAAGGUUAAAGUUAAAUUAGAACACACAACAUGUGUUUUCAGUCAAAUGUAUACGCACUUAAAGGGACACUAUAAGCUAUUCAUAGACGUGCUAACUGCUGACCAUAGAAUACAUUACAUCCAAUAUCAGGGAACACGUUUUUGUGAUAUGUCACAACAGGUGGGGGUCUCUCUCUUUGGAGGAAGCUAUAUAAACUGUAACUAUACAUUUAGCAUUCAUUCAUCAUUCAUUCCAUCAGGUCUCCUUAACCUGCUGCCAGCCUACCUCUAACGGUUUGGUACGGUUAUCUAACUGUUAUUUUAUUUCUGUAACAUUUAUUCAAUACACUUACAUUUUUUUAAUUU